rnacentral:rRNA from 1 species
CCUACGGGUGGCUGCAGUGGGGGAUAUUGCACAAUGGGGGAAACCCUGAUGCAGCGAAGCAGCGUGUGGGAAGACGGUCCUCUGGAUUGUAAACCACUGUCCCCAGGGACGAAGAUGACGGUACCUGGGGAGGAAGCUCCGGCUAACUACGUGCCAGCAGCCGCGGUAAUACGUCGGGAGGGAGCGUUGUCGGGAAUUUCUGGGUGUAAAGGUGGCGUAGGCGGGACUGAAAGUUGGGUGUCAAAUCUACGGGCUCAACCGGUAGCCGCACUCAAAACUGCAGUUCUUGAGUGAAGUAGAGGCAGGCGGAAUUCAUAGUGUAGCGGUGAAAUGCGUAGAUAUUAGGAGGAACACCAGUGGCGAAGGCGGCCUGCUGGGCUGUUACUGACGCUGAGGCUCGAAAGUGUGGGGAGCAAACAGGAUUAGAUACCCGGGUAGUC